AUACGUAGGGGGCUAGCGUUAUCCGGAAUUACUGGGCGUAAAGGGUGCGUAGGUGGUUUCUUAAGUCAGAAGUGAAAGGCUACGGCUCAACCGUAGUAAGCUUUUGAAACUAAGAGACUUGAGUGCAGGAGAGGAGAGUAGAAUUCCUAGUGUAGCGGUGAAAUGCGUAGAUAUUAGGAGGAAUACCAGUUGCGAAGGCGGCUCUGUGGACUGAAUGAGACUCAGAGGCGCGAGAGCGUGGGGAGAAAAGGGGUAUAGAUACCGGUAUAGCCCGCGGCGUAAGCGGUGAGUACUAGGUGGCGGGGGUUACGCCCCUCGGUGGCGCAGCUAACGCAUUAAGUACUCCGCCUGGGGAGUACGCUCGCAAGAGUGAAACUCAAAGGAAUUGACGGGG
rnacentral:rRNA from 1 species